rnacentral:piRNA from 1 species
GCAUAAACAAGGUCCUGUGAUUGCUGCACU